rnacentral:rRNA from 1 species
GAUGAACGCUGGCGGCGUGCCUAAUACAUGCAAGUCGAGCGAACAGAUGAGAAGAUUGCUUCUCUGAUGUUAGCGGCGGACGGGUGAGUAACACGUGGGUAACCUACCUAUAAGACUGGGAUAACUCCGGGAAACCGGGGCUAAUACCGGAUAAUAUUUUGAAACGCAUGGUUCAAUAGUGAAAGACGGUUUCGGCUGUCACUUUAAUAUGGAACAGCGCCGUAUUAGCUAGUUGGUAAGGUAACGGCUUACCAAGGCGACGAUACGUAGCCGACAUGAGAGGGUGAGCGGCCACACUGGAACUGAGACACGGUCCAGACUCCUACGGGAGUCAGCAGUAGGGAAUCUUCCGCAAUGGGCGAAAGCCUGACGGAGCAACGCCGCGUGAGUUAUGAAGGUCUUCGGAUCGUAAAACUCUGUUGUUAGGGAAGAACAAAUUUGUUAGUAACUGAACAAGUCUUGACGGUACCUAACCAGAAAGCCACGGCUAACUACGUGCCAGCAGCCGCCGUAA